AUACGUAGGGGGCAAGCGUUAAUCGGAAUUACUGGGCGUAAAGCGUGCGCAGGCGGUUUUGUAAGACAGUGGUGAAAUCCCCGGGCUCAACCCGGGAACUGCCAUUGUGACCGGAAGGCUGGAGUGCGGCAGAGGGGGAUGGAAUUCCGCGUGGAGCAGUGAAAUGCGUAGAUAUGCGGAGGAACACCGAUGGCGAAGGCAAUCCCCUGGGCCUGCACUGACGCUCAUGCACGAAAGCGUGGGGAGCAAACAGGAUUAGAUACCCUGGUAGUCCACGCCCUAAACGAUGUCAACUGGUUGUUGGGGAUUUAUUUUCUCAGUAACGAAGCUAACGCGUGAAGUUGACCGCCUGGGGAGUACGGCCGCAAGGUUAAAACUCAAAGGAAUUGACGGGG
rnacentral:rRNA from 1 species